rnacentral:rRNA from 1 species
GACGAACGCUGGCGGCGUGCUUAACACAUGCAAGUCGAACGGAAAGGCCCUGCUUUUGUGGGGUGCUCGAGUGGCGAACGGGUGAGUAACACGUGAGUAACCUGCCCUUGACUUUGGGAUAACUUCAGGAAACUGGGGCUAAUACCGGAUAGGAGCUCCUGCUGCAUAUUGGGGGUUGGAAAGUUUCGGCGGUUGGGGAUGGACUCGCGGCUUAUCAGCUUGUUGGUGGGGUAGUGGCUUACCAAGGCUUUGACGGGUAGCCGGCCUGAGAGGGUGACCGGCGACAAUGGGACUGAGAGACGGCCCAGACUCCUACGGGAGGCAGCAGUGGGGAAUAUUGCACAAUGGGCGGAAGCCUGAUGCAGCAACGCCGCGUGCGGGAUGACGGCCUUCGGGUUGUAAACCGAUUUCGCCUGUGACGAAGCGUGAGUGACGGUAAUGGGUAAAGAAGCACCGGCUAACUACGUG